rnacentral:lncRNA from 1 species
UUCUUUAAGCUAUGAAUAUAUAUAUUUAUAAUUUUUAUCUCUGGUCUACUUUUAAAUAAUUAAUCUUCUUAGAAUACACUUACAUAUAUGUUUGUCAACAGAUCCACUUUUUGGGAAAAGAUAUCCAAUCUUAUCUUCCCCUACUCUGCAGACAGGCUCCCUGGCCUUUGCUCUGGGAGCAGGCUCUUCCUUUCUGUCCUGGUUCCACACCCAGCAAUUGGAUUGUAUUCUUCCAGCUCCCAGGUUAGCAGAAAGUGGCACAAUGGUUCUGUGAGGGAGGCAGGUAAAGAAAACAUCUGGGCAAUAGUAAUUGUUACUACUCUAUACUGGGUCCAGGUAGAUGACAUUCUAAUUAUUCUGAAUUGGUGAAAUAAAAACAGCAGCUGCAGUGGUAUAUUCUUCUCUUAUUUCUCCCAUGGAUUGAGCUCAUUUGUCAGAAGGUUCCUACUCUCUGAAUUCUUUAAAUGAACUAUUUUUUUUCCUCAAACUGUUAUUAGUCCAAAACUUGAAUCAAAAUACCAACAUCCCCAAAAGAUCCUCAGUGGCUUAUUUUCAUUAUCCAGGUACAGCUUUCUAAAAUGUCACUUUUUAAUUAAGUACUUAAAAAUGGAUAACAUUACUAACAUCUACAAAUGUGAAUUUCUAGUACACUAAGUGGUGUUUUAAUUAAUAUUCCUGCAUUUUAUCUUCUCAUCUUCUUCCCCCACCAAAAGAAAAAAAUAGGUUUGAUCCAUUUUGUGUUUCAAUGUUUCUGUGUUAUUAUUUCUUUUAUUAACUUUUAGAAAGAAUAUCAAGAUGCCAAAGAAAAUAUCCAUAGGCAAAACCAAAAAACUCAAAAUUGGUUUUUAAAGAUUUAUACUGAAAAUUUAAUGAGAUGUGAGAGGGAGAUUAUGUCAUACAUCAUUCAGGUGAAGAAACUGAAGAAUAAAGAGUUUAAUGGAAUUGCUCGUGGAAUUUAACCCCAAGCAGUCUACCUGCUAUGUCAGUUCACCUAACAAACACUACUCCAUUAAAAUAUUAUUCUAUCAGUUGGGGAAAUUGCUUUCCAGAGACGACACAUGGCAUUAGAAUAGAAGCCAAAGUAGUUAACUGUUUCUAAUAAAGAGCUUAAGCUUCUUUUUAUCAAUAAUCCUUACCAAAAAUCUUCCAUCUCCUCCAUUCUGAGAAGAUAAAUCUGCAGUUCUUGAAGUGUGUAAAAUUAAUAUAAAUAACCAGCUUGAAAAAAUGUACCCAAAACUCAUUUGGGAUGAAAUUUUAAAUAAUUUUAUGAAAGUAUAAUAGUUUUAUGAAACAUAAUAUUUAAUGUUUUUAUUUCCUAGGAAAAACAGAAUGUGAACAAAUAUGUUCAGAUGCAUGAUGAGAAACAGCUUUUUAAAAAUUUGAGCUAUAUUUCUUAGCAAAGUUAACAUUAUAUAUAAUUCUCUUCACAUUUUUGUAGUAUACAUGCAGCUACCGGUAUACUGUCUAAACUAUAUUUGUGUCUUUUUCUUCCACAGUGCUUGGCAAAUAACUUAUAUUAGCCUUAUUCUUUCUAUUUAAAGUUCAAGAAACAUUUAUUAAUAAAAAUUGAUCAAACACAUAAAAACAUAAAUAUUUAGUUCUUUAUACAAAUUUUAAAAUUCCAAGUCAUAAAAAAAUAUAGAUUUCUAUAUUAUUCGUUAAUAUGUGCAGUUGUAUUAGCCUGGAUCAAUGAGGCUGUUUCCUUAAAACAUUAUUUAGAAACUGAUUAAAGUAGCAAAUAACUAAGAAACACCACCACCACCAAAAGACAUUAGGUAAAGCUUAGGAAUUAUGUAGCACCACCCUGGGUUGCUAAGGCCCUGAAUUGGGCUCUGCUGUAGCUGUUGGUAUAAUGUAUUCAGAGUGGCACAAAGAAAAACCUUCUGCUUAGAAAAUGAGUGGCAAGUUAGAAUAAGCAUGCCCUAAGGGUCUGUUUCAGUCAGCCAGUGAUUCAAAUAGCCCCAACUACUACAAUUAGCAAUGAUCAACACCACUUAAUUCUUCAUGAUGUCAAUUUCUGAUAACCGUAUUUUCAAAGGUUUUAUACGUAGAAGAAGGAACAUCCUGAUGAGAAUACAUACUCGUUGCUAGGAGGGUUCAGCUCAUUUCAAGUUUUAACACUCAUUAGCUGUACGACUUGGGAGAAGUCAAAGAACUCAUACACAUGUUAACUGUUUCCUUCAAUGAGGGUAAAAUAAUCUUGUUGGAAAAAUAUCUUGAUAAUCUCUUAACUGAAAUAAAAAGUUAAAUUAAUAAAUUUAAUUAAAUUUGAGUUGCUGAGAAAUAAUAUUUUCCUAGGGUAAAAUAAAUGAGAUUUGAUCACAAUUAAAACAGUAUAAAUGAAGCCUUUAGAGAAAGGAAAGAAAACCAUUUUUUUACGUGUAAAUGCAUUCCUUGUAUGAACUGAACUUGAACACAGAAAAAAUAAAUUACUACAAAUGAAACAAUAGAUUACUAAAAUCAAUUGAAUUAUUUUCCACUAUAUAUAAUAUAUAGUAGAAAUAUAUAAUAUAUAUUAAAUGUAUAAUAAUGCUAUAUAUUAUAUAUACUACAUAUAUAUACCAUAUAUUAUACAUGCAUAGUAUAUAUAUUAUAUAUACUACAUAUAUAUUGUAUAUAUAAUAUGUAAUAUAUAUUACAUAUAUAUAUUAAGGACCAAAUUCGAGUGAAAUCUAUUGCUAUGAACUUCCUGUAAAUUCCAAAUUGCUUUGGAGGAUUUUUGAGGUUUAACUCAUUUAAAUCCCCAAAACAUAAAGGCAUCUUAAAAAGUAAGUUGGAUAAGUAAGUCAACAAAAGAUCUUGAAAUUGAAACACAUAUGCUGAAUUCCAAUUCGUUGUUUAUAUUGUGUUCCUUGAAUUUAUGAUUCAAAAUUUGAAACUAUAAGCUUCUCAUUUUAAACAUAUGUAUACAUUUAUCAGCCAGCUACAAGGUUCUAGAACAGUGAUUUUCAAACAUUCUCUCUCCCUUUCUCUCUCUCUCUCUGUUUCUAUCUCUCUCUACCUAAACAAGCUAAGAACUGAAAAGUUCUGAUUGACAGGUUGAAAGACCUGGAGCACUUAAGUCUUCUAUUAUUCACCAAUCUUUUCUCCUUCAGCAGGUGGCUCCAAUGUUUAAAACCUAGAGGUUGAACCAGGGGUUGUGAACCUUAAAUAGAGUGUUAUGAGCUACUGACUCUUAAACUUUGAGCUUCAGAGGAAGUUAACAGCAAGUCUGAUGACUCAUAUGCAUUCUCACAUGCUUGAAGGUGGCUGAAGAUGAAAAUAGCCGAACUAGCAGGUUGGUAGGUGUUAUGGUAGCAUCUGUCCCUUCAACCAAGAACAAUCUGCACCUGUGACAUUUGAGUAAACUUUGUGCCAGACUGUGUCUUCUAUUUUUCUUAUAUGAUGUGAUACAAGAUAUGGCCCAAAUCUGAAGAAAACAAAUUAUAUUAUCAUAGUUUUCAUUAUUUUAUGAGCACAGUCAAUGGCAAUAUAACGUUUACAUUUGUGCUUUCUUUCUAACACACCUGCUUUAGGAGUCAAUGAAUCAUUCAAUCCAAAGGGCCACUUAUUUGGUACUUCAUAUGCAGUAAUCUAGUCUAGUAGUAGGCUAGAACACUUGAUAACCAUAAGAGAUAAUCCAAGCCUUUUUUAUUUCUAUCUCAAAUAAGUGGCCUCAGAGUAUCUGUAUCUAGUCUGCCCUUUCAGCCUGAAGAUCAACAUUAGAAUUUUCAGUUUCUCAAGAUACUAGGUUUGCUCCUUUUUUCUCAAUGUCUCUCUCAACCCUGCUCUGGGCAGUUUGCAAUCUAAAGUCCUAUGACUAAAAUAUUUUUUUAAAAAAUAGCAUCCCAGCAUUCUCCUUUGAUUAAAUUAAGUACAAAGCUCUUCAGUAUCCAUGUUAAUAUUUUAAAUAUUGAUUGCAUAUAUGUUAAGAUUUAUAAAACUUUUAGAAAAAUGUCUAUUAUUUAUUAAGAAAGAAAAAUGAGUCUUCUCUAUAGCAAAACUGUGCAUAUUUAAUAGCUAUAUAUCUACUAGAACAUUUUUUGUUUGCAUGUUUUUCAUUUUUAGUUCAACAGAAGAUAAAAACAUGAGUAAAAUGUACAAUUAGCCAUUUAAUAUAAUAUAGAAAUCCUUAAAUAUUUUAUCCAUAUUUUAGGAAUUCUUUUAAACUGUUCUAGCUAAGAUACAAUGAGUUAUAGACAGAGCAUGACCUAGUUAAGAGUGUGGAUUUUGGAAUUGGCCAGGCUUAUUUCAAAUUCUUAACUCUACCAUUAGCUGGAUGAUUUUGGACAAAUUUUUCUAGGAGUCCUGUUUCCUCUUCUGUGAAAUGUGGCUAAUGGAACCUUCCUAAUAAAGUGAGUGUGGCUUAGACAAUUUAAUGAAAUUGUGUAAAUUAUCUCACAUGGAUUCUGUCAUAUGGUAAAAACCCAAGAAAAUUUUUUUCUGCUCUGUCCUCUUUGAAAUAUGCUUGUAAAGUAAAAUAUGAACAACAGUAAACUUGAAUCUUUUCCUUAAUAUGUCCUUUAUGUCCUCAAGGGGAUAAACAGCUUUUUCCUUCAUAUUCUCUGUAGCAGAUACAAAAUGGCCUCCCAAAGAUGUCUGAGUCUUAAUCUCCAGAAUCUUGAAUAUGUUACGUUACAAAUACAUUUGUCAGAUUUUGCAGAUAUGAUUAAGUUAAGGAUCUUGAGAUAUAGAGAUUAUCCUGGAUUAUCCAAGUGGACUCAAUAUAAUCACAGGAGUCCUUGUAAGAAAAGGAGAGAGGUAGGAGAGUGAGAAUCAGGAUAAAAGAUGUGGUGACUGAAGCAAAAUCAGAGACAGAAAUUGAAAUCUGAACAUGCUGGACUGCUAGUUUAUUCAAAACCAGCAGAGGAACUAGCCAAGGAAUGCAGGUAGCCCCUAGAAGAUAGAAAAGGCAAGAAAAUAGAUUCUCUACUAGAGCCACCAAAUGUAAUGCAAUCCUGUAGACACACUGAUUUUAGGACUAUAAAAUAAUAAAUUUAUGUUGUUUUAUAACACUAAAUAUGUGGUAAUUUGUUACAACAGCAAUGGGAAACUGAUACACUCAAUAAAGGCAAUAAAUGGACUAGAAGACGUUACCAUUCUAUGCAAUAUAUAUAUAUACACACACACACACACACACACACACACACACACACACACACAUAUGUAUUUCUUUUUUUUUUUUUU